AUUGAACGCUGGCGGCAUGCCUUACACAUGCAAGUCGAACGGUAACGGGCCUUCGGGUGCCGACGAGUGGCGAACGGGUGAGUAAUACAUCGGAACGUGCCCGAUCGUGGGGGAUAACGAGGCGAAAGCUUUGCUAAUACCGCAUACGAUCUACGGAUGAAAGCAGGGGACCGCAAGGCCUUGCGCGGACGGAGCGGCUGAUGGCGGAUUAGGUAGUUGGUGGGAUAAAAGCUUACCAAGCCGACGAUCUGUAGCUGGUCUGAGAGGAUGAUCAGCCACACUGGGACUGAGACACGGCCCAGACUCCUACGGGAGGCAGCAGUGGGGAAUUUUGGACAAUGGGCGCAAGCCUGAUCCAGCCAUGCCGCGUGCAGGAUGAAGGCCUUCGGGUUGUAAACUGCUUUUGUACGGAACGAAAAGCUUUCUUUUAAUACAGGGGGGUCAUGACGGUACCGUAAGAAUAAGCACCGGCUAACUACGUG
rnacentral:rRNA from 1 species